CAAUUGUUGUUAUUUGAAGCAAGAACCUCUGAAAAAUGAAUCCUUCCCUCUGGACACAGAAGCCAGGCAGUGUAAUACCGUUCUUCCAGCUCAUGAAUCACAGCUGAAGAACCAGACUUCUGUAUCAGCAGAGACAGAGACACCGUUGGGUUUACAGAAAGUCAGGAUGAAGGAAGCAGGAGCAGCAAAACUCAUUUGGUGUUGUGGCAUGUUUGGCACCCUCUGCAACUACUAUAAGGAAAGGAAGAAACUGCUGGAAGAGAAAGGGAUCAGCUGUGUUAAGGAAAAGACGAUAUGAAUUAAAAUUAAUUAUGAAUGUUAAUACUUAAAAGAGAAUAAAUCACCUCAGCUUAACA
rnacentral:lncRNA from 1 species